rnacentral:rRNA from 1 species
AUUGAACGCUGGCGGCAGGCCUAACACAUGCAAGUCGAGCGGCAGCGGGAAAGUAGCUUGCUACUUUUGCCGGCGAGCGGCGGACGGGUGAGUAAUGCCUGGGGAUCUGCCCAGUCGAGGGGGAUAACUACUGGAAACGGUAGCUAAUACCGCAUACGCCCUACGGGGGAAAGCAGGGGACCUUCGGGCCUUGCGCGAUUGGAUGAACCCAGGUGGGAUUAGCUAGUUGGUGAGGUAAUGGCUCACAAAGGCGACGGUCCCUAGCUGGUCUGAGAGGAUGAUCAGCCACACUGGAACUGGGACACGGUCCAGACUCCUACGGGAGGCAGCAGUGGGGAAUAUUGCACAAUGGGGGAAACCCUGAUGCAGCCAUGCCGCGUGUGUGAAGAAGGCCUUCGGGUUGUAAAGCACUUUCAGCGAGGAGGAAAGGUUGGUAGCUAAUAACUGCCAGCUGUGACGUUACUCGCAAAAGAAGCACCGGCUAACUCCGUGCCAGCCGCCGCCGUAACAC